AUGAACGCUGGCGGCGUGCCUAAUACAUGCAAGUCGAGCGAACGGACGAGAAGCUUGCUUCUCUGAUGUUAGCGGCGGACGGGUGAGUAACACGUGGAUAACCUACCUAUAAGACUGGGAUAACUUCGGGAAACCGGAGCUAAUACCGGAUAAUAUUUUGAACCGCAUGGUUCAAAAGUGAAAGACGGUCUUGCUGUCACUUAUAGAUGGAUCCGCGCUGCAUUAGCUAGUUGGUAAGGUAACGGCUUACCAAGGCAACGAUGCAUAGCCGACCUGAGAGGGUGAUCGGCCACACUGGAACUGAGACACGGUCCAGACUCCUACGGGAGGCAGCAGUAGGGAAUCUUCCGCAAUGGGCGAAAGCCUGACGGAGCAACGCCGCGUGAGUGAUGAAGGUCUUCGGAUCGUAAAACUCUGUUAUUAGGGAAGAACAUACGUGUAAGUAACUGUGCACAUCUUGACGGUACCUAAUCAGAAAGCCACGGCUAACUACGU
rnacentral:rRNA from 1 species